rnacentral:lncRNA from 1 species
ACUGUAAAAAAAUGUAGGUCAAUAUGUUUAUUUCAAUAUUAAUUUCUUAAUUAAAAAAUAGAUCAUCUACUUUAAAAUAGAUCAAAGCACAAACCAAAAUAUAAAUCUCAUGAUAUUGUGAAUAUCAAGACUAACAGUAUAUAGGAAACAUAUAAAGGAGGUUAUCAUCUACUUUGCAAGCCAGUUAUCAACGUGCAAAACUUUCAGUAUUCUUUCUAAAACGAUGUCCAAUUAACUCAAAUUCUUGUAAUGAUGGCAAAAGAAAUACUUGUUUUGAUGAUAAAUCAAACUUGCUAAAUAACAAAAUGCAGCAAUUCUGUUUGGCUUGGAAAAUAAGUGAUACAAAUGCCGCUUUCCAUACACCAUAAGGAAUUUAAAGCCUUCUACCCCUUCUACCACUCUUUCUACGGGUGCUGUCCGAGGGAAUGGGAGUAACAUCCUCUGAAAAACCAAUAUACAGAUGAAAUCCAUCAGAUAGUAGUAUUACAAAAAACAAUAAAAAUAUACAAUGAAAUACAUCCCCUCACAAUAAAUAACUACCAGUUUCAGACCAAUUAGCUACUACACACUAAAGAGGUGUUAAUAAGUACUAGAUUCUUUUUCUUUUAUUCCCUCGAAAGUGAGAAUCACAAACAUUUAUCGUAUGAUUUAUUUUCUGACUGUAAAAAAAUGUAGGUCAAUAUGUUUAUUUCAAUAUUAAUUUCUUAAUUAAAAAAUAGAUCAUCUACUUUAAAAUAGAUCAAAGCACAAACCAAAAUAUAAAUCUCAUGAUAUUGUGAAUAUCAAGACUAACAGUAUAUAGGAAACAUAUAAAGGAGGUUAUCAUCUACUUUGCAAGCCAGUUAUCAACGUGCAAAACUUUCAGUAUUCUUUCUAAAACGAUGUCCAAUUAACUCAAAUUCUUGUAAUGAUGGCAAAAGAAAUACUUGUUUUGAUGAUAAAUCAAACUUGCUAAAUAACAAAAUGC